AUGUUGUACCUUCACAGGGGAGGACAAGGUAGAUAAAGUUUGGUAAUUUCAUUAAAGGAAUUUUGACCCUAUAACUGAAUUUCAGAUGAAACUGCUCUAUUCUCAUACAGGCUGAGGAGGAGGAGGAACGGGGACGAUGGUCUUGCUGUUUCAGGAGUGGCAGAGGUAGAACAAAAUCUGAGUAAAAGUGGAUUCACUCAGUCCAAGCCCAUGUUGUCCAAAGUGCUUUCAGUGAGAUCAUGUUAGUGUUUAAAUUCAGCCCUGAAAUACCAACUUCGUAAACUUUCAAAUCUGAAUGGAGAUCAACAUGAAGAGUAUGUACUUCUAUAGUUUGUUUAAAAUAUAUGUUUAUUUGGCCCUUUUAAUGGUAAGAAAAGUAAUGAUAAGACAAAGUAUAUAUCGGAAUAUACACUGAAAAAGAAUUUCUUUUUGUGACUCUCUAUCAUGUUUUAUUCCUGGUCCAUCACGGUGUGACACGAAGUUGUUCUUUCAUAUUAUCAGCACAUUUAAAUAUUUUGCAAUACACCAAGGAAAUAUAGAAAUCACUGCCAUCACUUGUGAAGUAAUUCAUAUUAAGGCAGUGACUGAUCUGAAGCAUUAUACACUCUAGCCAAGUCUCUUUUAACCUCC